rnacentral:rRNA from 1 species
UACGUAGGAGACAAGCGUUGUCCGGAAUUACUGGGCGUAAAGCGCGUGUAGGCGGUAGGUCAAGUCUGCUGUGAAAUCGCCCGGCUCAACUGGGCGCGGUCGGUGGAAACUGGUCAACUGGAGGACGGUAGAGGCGAGUGGAAUUCCCGGUGUAGUGGUGAAAUGCGUAGAUAUUGGGAGGAACACCGGUGGCGAAGGCGGUGGUCUGGGCCGGCACUGACGCUGAGGAGCGAAAGCGUGGGGAGCGAACAGG